UGGUGCUGCUAAGUGCUGGGCUGUUGCCAUCUCCUGGGUGUGGGGGGAGUGAGCUGCAGGGCCCUCAGCCAGGUGUCGGCAGCCUCCGGGUUUCCGGCACCACAGUGACUUCACUCUUCUCGAAGGAAGCAAGGAUGCAUGCCAAGAGGUGUCUGCUGAGAAGAAGGUCCUGCCUGCCUGCCUGCCUGCCCCACCCUGCAAGAGGGCUGGGCCACAUCUUUGACUCUACCACCCUCUCCCCAGUACCUAGAAGAGUGUCAGGCCUAUAGUAAACACUCAACAAGCACUCCUAUAGUUGGGAGUGGUGAUGCAUGACUAUAAUCCCAGCACUUGAGGCUGAGGCAGGAUGAUCACAUGAGUUCAAGG
rnacentral:lncRNA from 1 species